GCCUGUAGUCCCUGCUGCCGGGAGGCAGAGUCGAGCUGGGAGGGUUACUUGAGCCCAGGAGCUCUAGGCUGUAACACACUAUACCAUCAUCUACCUGUACCAAGUUCAGCAUUAAUAUGGAGCAAGGGACCACCAGGUUGCCUAAGAAGGAGUGAACCAACCCAGGUCAAAAACCAAGCAGAUCAAAAUUCUCAUGCUGAUCAGUAGUAAGACACACGUGUGACUAGCCAUUGCACUCCAGCCUGGGCAGCAUAGCGAGAUUU
rnacentral:SRP_RNA from 1 species